rnacentral:rRNA from 1 species
AUUGAACGCUGGCGGCAUGCUUUACACAUGCAAGUCGAACGGCAGCGCGGGCUUCGGCCUGGCGGCGAGUGGCGAACGGGUGAGUAAUGCAUCGGAACGUGCCCAGUAGUGGGGGAUAGCCCGGCAAAAGCCGGAUUAAUACCGCAUACGACCUGAGGGUGAAAGCGGGGGACCGAAAGGCCUCGCGCUAUUGGAGCGGCCGAUGUCGGAUUAGCUAGUUGGUGGGGUAAAGGCUUACCAAGGCGACGAUCCGUAGCUGGUCUGAGAGGACGACCAGCCACACUGGGACUGAGACACGGCCCAGACUCCUACGGGAGGCAGCAGUGGGGAAUUUUGGACAAAGGGGGCAACCCUGAUCCAGCCAUGCCGCGUGCGGGAAGAAGGCCUUCGGGUUGUAAACCGCUUUUGUUCGGGAAGAAAUCCUCUGGGCUAAUACCCCGGGGGGAUGACGGUACCGGAAGAAUAAGCACCGGCUAACUACGUG